AUGACCUGUGUGGUGCCCAACAGUCAACUUACUUACAUCUGCAUGCCCAGAGAUAAAAGAAAGGCACAAGGAAUGGAUAACAGGAAGGAGGAAAGAAGUAGAUCGCUAUGUGCAACAUCACACGAAGAGCUGAAAGUCCGAGGAAAAGAAAAAAGGAAACGAAAACGUAGUAGAAGCAGAUCAUCAUCAGUUUCAUCCACAUCAUCUUCUAGUGCUACCACGUCCUCCACUUCUUCCUCCUCAUCACGCUCGUCAUCGAGGUCUUCUUCAAGUAGCAGGGGUAAGCUGCCACUUGUGUACAAGUGGUUUUUACCUGUGUUGAGAGCAUUCUUGGAAACAUGUAGAGCUUAUUUUAAAUGUGGCUACGCUGCCACAAAACGAUACUACAGAUUACAAAUAUUACGUGUUGAGAGUGUUUUCUUACAACCGUUUCCUUUGGUAAUGUUAAGGUGCCUCCUUAUCCACCAUAUGCAAUGCUCCUGUGUUAAUUUAAAUGUCUUCAGAAAUAAAAGCGUCUUAUUUUGUUUGAAGAAAUGUUACUUUGGUAAGAAUAUACAUAAGUAUACGUUUAAAGCUCUGGGUUUUUUUUUAAGUAAACUGAAUACAGAUCUUUUUCUACUUCACCUCUUUAGACCAGAGUUAAGGUUUUUGUUUUGGUCUUACUGUGAUCUUGAAGUUUCAAACACUUAAAUAUAAGGACUUACAAAAGGUAUAUUAAUACAAAUAACUGAGUUCAGUGGAAACACAUCCAAGUGUUGUAGGAUUAAGACUUUCCUAUUAAACUGCUGCUUACUCAGAGGACUUGGAGUAGCUUUGAUCUUUUAAAAAAGAUAAAAUCUGGAAGUAAGUGCAGGUUUUCUGUAUGGCUCCAGCUUGUGGCUUCAAGGGAAACGUAUUGCUGAUUAUAUCAAGACUGCAUUAUUUUGAUGUUCUGUUUUGAAAUAUUUUAUAUCAUUGUAGGUAAAGUGAGCAGAUUGCCCUUUUUGAGUAUAAUACAUGAGGCUAAACACUGAAGUGUGUUUUUUUUUCUUUUUACUGUGAUUGGGAGGAAGACUCUAUGGACCACAGUUCGCUUGACUACAACUCUUUAGCUUCAGGGUCAGAUGAAGUUUCACUGUGCCAUACUGGACCUCAUAUUUGUGAAUAUAAAUUUUUUGCCAUAUAUAACUAAGAUUUUCUAAUCUUUCCGUAAUGCAAGGUUGUAGAUCGAUUAUUUCUUGGACAGUGCUUCAGGAAUCAUAUAUUUGCUAAGAUUAUCGGCCCAACUGAACCGCAUUCACUUGUAUACAACUCAGUAGAGCUGGAAUACCUGUAGUAGAGGAGGAAGAAAAGGGAGUACUUUCUUAAUGCCACAGAUGAACAAAGACUAAGUUCCACUUCUCUUGAAGUGGAUUUAAUGUCUACAUGGAAAUAUUAUUUUUUCUUCGUACUUCAGUGACUGAUUCAAAGUGUCUGACCGUUAUUAUUUUCUGAAAAUGUUCAUACUUGUGAACUUGUACAUUACAAGUUCCUGUCUUUUUGAAUUAAUUUUAUGCCAUGUGACAUACUCUGAAAUUUUUGAAAAGAAUUAAAAUGUCAUGUCAGGCACUGGCUGUGUGAUGAUUCUUGGCAUGCUUUCUGGCACAUUAUGUUCUUAGUUUUUGAGACUGUAUCAUUAGAAAUAUAAUUUUUUAAAUUCAACAGCCUCUCUUUGUUUGUUGUUUUCCAAAGUAUAUUACUGCAUGGUUAUAAAGAAAGUUAUCAAGCGAUGUCCAGAGGGUUAAUGGCACACAAAAACAGAAGGGAGGGUUUUUGUAAUGUAUAAGCAUGCUGUUGAAGCGUUGCACUGAUGAUGAGCAAUACAGAAGAUGACUGUCAUCUGCUAUGAUUCUCUUACCCCAACAGUUACUGUUUGAGAUUUUACUUAGCCCUGCCAGCUCUGACAGUUGUCUGGCGUAAAAAAUAGCAUUUCCAUAUCCCAUUCCAAAACCUUAUUUCUGAUAUUUUGAUACACCAGCCUUGGACAUCUUACUAAAAUUUUACAUUUUGGCCUCCAACUAGACUAGGCAGAAAAAAACUGAAAAAAGAUUGAAAAAAACCCAACAAAAUAAGUCAUUCAGAAUUUAUCAGUCUUUUAGAAGGAUGGCAAGAAAUAUGUUAUCUGGGGAAAAAAAUCAUUCUGAAUUAGGCCCAAGUUAUCAAUUUGCGUGCUUGAAGAUUUGCUAAAACUUCACAGACAAAACAUUCCCUAAAUUUUCCAUUCACAAGGGAGAGAGAAGAUCUAGAAAAAAUGUCCUACAAGGGCAUGUUUAAACAAGUCAAUUUACUCAAUUUAGAUUGAGAGGAAAAGACAUGAGGCAAUCAAGUUAAGACAGAUAUAUAUCUAUGUGUAUGUAUAUUGACGAGGUCUGAUGUGUCAGCUAUAACAAAGUUGGAGUUGACCUUCCUUGGGAUAGCAGAAUAGAGGUUUCUUCUGUCCUUGUUUUUUAUAUUAUUCUCUUUUCUUAUUUAGAGACUGCAGCUGCAGUUCUGGCUGUUAAGUACUGUAAAAGUAUCUGGGAAACCUGAAAGGAGAGUGGGGGAAACUCUUCUGCUUUCUGAGUGAUAUCCCCCACCUGCCUUCUCCAAACUUCUUGGUGAUGUAGAUUGAAUGGAAAAUAAAGCUGUCUAAUUUGAGUGCA
rnacentral:lncRNA from 1 species